rnacentral:rRNA from 1 species
ACGAACGCUGGCGGCGUGCUUAACUCAUGCCAGUCGAACGGAAAGGCCCUGCUUUUGUGGGGUGCUCGAGUGGCGAACGGGUGAGUAACACGUGAGUAACCUGCCCUUGACUUUGGGAUAACUUCAGGAAACUGGGGCUAAUACUGGAUAGGAGCUCCUGCUGCAUGGUGGGGGUUGGAAAGUUUCGGCGGUUGGGGAUGGACUCGCGGCUUAUCAGCUUGUUGGUGGGGUAGUGGCUUACCAAGGCUUUGACGGGGAGCCGGCCUGAGAGGGUGACCGGCCACAUUGGGACUGAGAUACGGCCCAGACUCCUACGGGAGGCAGCAGUGGGGAAUAUGGCACAAUGGGCGGAAGCCUGAUGCAGCAACGCCGCGUGCGGGAUGACGGCCUUCGGGUUGUAAACCGCUUUCGCCUGUGACGAAGCGUGAGUGACGGUAAUGAGUAAAGAAGCACCGGCUAACUACGUG